rnacentral:tRNA from 1 species
GCCUGGGUGGCUCAGUUGGUUAAGCAUCUGACUUCAGCUCAGGUCACUAUCUCAUGGUCUGUGAGUUCCAGCCCCACAUCAGGCU